rnacentral:rRNA from 1 species
AGUGAACGCUGGCGGUAGGCCUAACACAUGCAAGUCGAACGGCAGCACAGUAAGAGCUUGCUCUUACGGGUGGCGAGUGGCGGACGGGUGCGGAAUACAUCGGAAUCUACUUUUUCGUGGGGGAUAACGUAGGGAAACUUACGCUAAUACCGCAUACGACCUACGGGUGAAAGCAGGGGAUCUUCGGACCUUGCGCGAUUGAAUGAGCCGAUGUCGGAUUAGCUAGUUGGCGGGGUAAAGGCCCACCAAGGCGACGAUCCGUAGCUGGUCUGAGAGGAGGAUCAGCGACACGGGAACUGAGACACGGUCCAGACUCCUACGGGAGGCAGCAGUGGGGAAUAUUGGACAAUGGGCGCAAGCCUGAUCCAGCCAUACCGCGUGGGUGAAGAAGGCCUUCGGGUUGGAAAGCCCUUUUGUUGGGAAAGAAAAGCAGCAGGUUAAUACCCCGCUGUUCUGACGGUACCCAAAGAAUAAGCACCGGCUAACUUCGUG